CUUGAGUGUACUCAACAAAAGAUAAACUUUAGUUAAGUCGGACCCAUCAUUCAGAAACAUCUGAUAUUUCAUAGUGUCAGACAUAUCCAUAAUAGAUCAGCCUUGAGUGUUCUCAACAAGCUGAGAUCGAUUUAGGACUCUGGGUUUUCACUAUAAUGAUGGAGGACAAAUGUAAAAUAUGACUUAAUAUUUUAUUGAGGUUUUUGUAUGCAUAGGUCUCAUCAAUAUCGAUAUAAUCACAUAUAUAUAAUUUAUUAUACAUCUACUAUGCAAAUAAAUAUACAUAUAGUAUAAUAUAAUAGUGUGGACAAUUAUGGACUUUUACUAUCUAGUCUUCCCGAGCCAUAAG
rnacentral:lncRNA from 1 species